GGGGAUGUAGCUCAGUUGGUAGAGUGCUUGCCUAGCUUGCUUGAGGCCCUGGGUUUGGUCCCCAGCACCCCCA
rnacentral:tRNA from 2 species